CUCAAGUUCAGUAGCGCAGCAUUUGCGUGCGGUAGGGAUGAGAGGGCAGCUCGUGCAAAAAGGCGCGGCGGCGCUCUACGCUGGUCCAAAGAUCGCCUCCUACACAGAUGCGUGCGAAGCCCCAGUCGCAAUGUGGGAAGGAGCUAUUCCGCUGAAGCAUGAGCGCGUGCUCAACAGCGGCGUUGUCACUCGCGUAGUAAAGAAAACAUACUCCCACCCGCCGGAGAUUCAUCCGACCAACUUGAGCUUCAAUGACAUUGAUUCCAUGUAUUGCUUGGGGAACGACGAGCUGAUCAAGUACUUCCCCGAGGGCGUGGGCGGAAAGAUGAUGCAGCUCAUGCCCCCUGGUCACCCACGCGGUUUCUUGUACCGGAAGCAGAGUCACCUCCUGAAUUGCUUCAUUGACAAGCUUCCCUUUUGGCAAAGCAAAGAAAGGGCGCUGCGCUCUCUGACGAACGGUCGUCCCGGAUUCAUCAUGGAUGGCCCGACAGGGUGCGGCAAGAGCGCGCUGCUCUGCCAGGCAGUGCACUACGCACGGUCUCGCGACAUCAUUACUCUGUACAUCGCAAACGCAAAGGCGUGGACGCAUGGAGAGUGGUGCUGGCCUAGCACGAUUCUGCCGGGCUUUUUCGAUGCACCGGAUGCGGCACGAGAGUUUCUUCGCACGGUGGCAGAAGCGAAUCGCUCUCUCUUGCAGGCGUGGGAGCUGAGGGUGACGCCGCAGGACUUGCCUCUUGAACAAGGCGAGAAGCAGCCGCGCUCCCUCUAUGACCUUUGUGAGUGGGGCCACCGCGCUGUUGCACCAGCGUCUAUUGACCGACAGAGCGUAUGUAUCAAGUUUUUCUUCGACGAGAUUAGAGCCGAGAAAACGAAGCCCAUCGUCAUAGCCGUGGACGGGUGGAAUCUGUUUUCCCAUGAGACACACUUCCGCUACCCGCACCCUGACUUCCUGCGUACUCUAACAACGCUGAACGACGGGUCGACGGACGUAGAUCUCUACCCACAAGAGCUGCCCCGCAUUCCGGCGUCGCGACUGAGCUUUGUGCGCGGCCUUAACAAACUGAUUCUCUCCAAGCAGGACCCCAACAAGUUUUUUAUCACUUGUACUACGCGUGACUUCAAACCCUUUGACGGUGUCAGCGGAUUCGCCGACGUGGAGAACGACCGUUUCAAGAAUAGUCUCGAUGAGUACGCUCCGUACGACCCGGAGAAAGACUCCUUUUUCCACCCUAUGCAGGUGGACAACUUUACCGAGUACGAGUACAGGGCGUUCCUCCGCUUCGCCAUCAACUCUGGUGAGCUGGCGGGCCUCGGCUGGGGCCCGAUGUGGCACUACUCAAGCGACUUUGAGCGGAAGCUGUACAAGAUCGACUUUAUGUCAGACCGCAACCCGCAGCGCGUCGUCGAUCACUAUCAUCAAGAGCUCGUGUGGCGUUACGAGUACAAGCGCACGCGGCAGAAACAGUACCUGCUAGCGCGACGCAAGAUGUGGCAGGGCGCCGAGGUGUCUAAUCCACUGCGCAACGGCAAGUGAGAAGCUCGGGCCUCUCCUCAGUGCGAUGGGAGCAGGCUUGUCUUGUAGUCGUUCUCGACUUUUUUUUCGGUUUUCCAUUUUGAGCUGUUGCUGUGCUAGUGGUUGUGAAGGAUAAGUUCUAGCUGCCGCCGAGGAGGCUGUUGUGGAUGGCUGCAGGAUUGAAAC
rnacentral:misc_RNA from 1 species